rnacentral:lncRNA from 1 species
UUUGAGCUAAUAUAACAACACAAGAAGAUGCUCAAAAUUGUCAAAAAGAAUAUGAAAAUGUUAAUAAAGUAAAUUUUAGAGUUCUAAGAACUUAUCCAAAUGAUUAUAUAUGAAGCUUGUUUUCAAGAAAGACUAUCGAUGCCAUCACAAUACUCAGGCUAAUUUGCCUUCAUCAAAGACAAAAAA